UUGAUGCUAUCAAAGUGAGAAUUAUCUAAUUUAACUUGUAAUGUUCAUUUCAUGCUUCCCAUAACAAAGGAAAAACAAACUGCUGACCUGACCUAAAAAAAAUCAAGAUGCACUUAAUUGCCUUCAUACGAAAACCCAUUCAUACAAAAAUUAGAAGACCUUUUAAUGCUUUCCUUUCAUCCACCCCACAUCUUCUCAACAGCUAGGCAUAUGUAGCAGUUAAUGUGAAGCACUAUAAUAUUUAUCAGGGCUAGUUCAGAACUGGCUACAAAGCCUGAAUAUUGCAGGUCGAAAACGAAGUUAAACUGAAGGGGAAACUGUCAGAGGGAAAAAGCUAAUUAUAGACUUACUCUGCUCCUUUUCAUCUCUUCACUGUAAGAAAUGUACGGCCAAGUUCUCACAAAUUCACUAGAAACAAACGAUUCUGCUCGAAACUCCACCGCUGAAACUUGAAUACGAGAGCUAAGGGUGGCCAUCGACUGGACCAAGAUGUCCAUCGAUCGAUAUCACUUGUGAAUUCCCUCAUUAUAUGAGCUCCAUUGAUCAAAUGGGUCACCAUCUGUUUCUUUUGUGUCCUUGAGAUGAAUUUUCCUGUGUUGUGCAAUAAAACAUUGGUCAAAUGACAGGUUGGAGGAGAAGUGACAAAAGCUCAAAAUAACAUAGACGUACAGAUCUACACCAGAACACAAAUAAGUAAAAUUAAUGGGGGAAAAUUAUUAAUAACUGAGGUAGAGGCUGGUGGGUCUGUCUGUCACACUGUAAUUACUCCAUUCCCCAGCAUGUUAUGUGCCUACCACAACUACUCCUC
rnacentral:lncRNA from 1 species